rnacentral:tRNA from 2 species
GCCCGGGUAGCUCAGUUGGUAGAGCACGUGACUGAAAAUCACGGUGUCGGCGGUUCGAUCCCGUCCCCGGGCA